rnacentral:rRNA from 1 species
GAUGAACGCUGGCGGCGUGCCUAAUACAUGCAAGUCGAGCGAACAGACGAGGAGCUUGCUCCUCUGACGUUAGCGGCGGACGGGUGAGUAACACGUGGAUAACCUACCUAUAAGACUGGGAUAACUUCGGGAAACCGGAGCUAAUACCGGAUAAUAUAUUGAACCGCAUGGUUCAAUAGUGAAAGACGGUUUUGCUGUCACUUAUAGAUGGAUCCGCGCCGCAUUAGCUAGUUGGUAAGGUAACGGCUUACCAAGGCGACGAUGCGUAGCCGACCGGAGAGGGUGAUAGGCCACACUGGAGCUGAGACAGGGUCCAGACUCCUACGGGAGGCAGCAGUAGGGAAUCUGCCGCAAUGGGCGAAAGCCUGACGGAGCAACGCCGCGUGAGUGAUGAAGGUCUUCGGAUCGUAAAACUCUGUUAUUAGGGAAGAACAAAUGUGGAAGGAAAUAUGCACGUCUUGACGGUACCUAAUCAGAAAGCAACGGCUAACUACGUG